AAACUGCCCUGACAAGGGUUAAAGCGGAGGGAAGGCGGGGCCGGGCCGGUUGCAGUUCAUUUGUGAUCGUGGGAGGAGGAGAAGAGGAGGAGUCAGGAAGGACUGUACCAAUAUGAUGAUGUUUCUCACUGGUUAUUAGAUCUUGAAUGAAAAUAAUUGAAAUCCAAACUGGUGAGAAGUACCUGCGCCUUAUUGUGGUAAAAUAUACAUUUGGGAAUAAUAUAGAUUAAAGCAUCUGGGUGAUGAAUAUUUCAGUUACGUUUGAGUUUGGAACACUUGAAAUCAUUACUGAAGUAGAAGCAGAAGCCAUAAAAACUCUCUGGGCUCCAGCAAUAAACACCAGCAUAGCCAGCCUCAAUCCUGGCACUUCUACUCCAUUGCCUCUAAAGCCACUGCUGUCGCUGGCACUGCUUCCAAAGAGCCCAAAGCCAACGUGCCUAGCUCAGACAUCUUAGCCUGUGAAAACUGUGAGCAAAUGGACUGCUUGGAGAAUCGGAAGUUUUGUACUCGAACCUGUUCUCAGCAUCAUAAAGACAAUGACUCUAAAGACACCCCAGUUGAUUGCAGAAACAGAAUAAGCAGCAAAAACCUUAAUGUCAGCAUUGGCUGCCAGGUUAAUGAGGCUGAUAAACCUCUCAAGCAACUCCAAAGGAAGAGGAAACUUCUUCUGGAUUCUGAGGAUGAGGAGGAGAACGUAGAUGAUGAUGAGGAGAAGAAUAAAUCAAAUAAUAUGAAAAGCCGCAGAAAUACUAAACCUCUAAAACAAGUUGUUCCAGGAAAGAAGACAGUGUGGAACUGGGUUGCUUACAUGGAAGAGGAACGGAUGCCAGCUGCUCACGUCAAACUGUUCAAAGAGUAUCAAUCCUUCCCACAAAGUAGGAAUGGAUUUAAAGUUGGAAUGAAGUUAGAGGGACUGGAUCCUGCACACCCAUCUUUAUUUUGUGUCCUCACCAUUGCUGAGGUGCAGGGAUAUAGGAUGCGAUUACAUUUUGAUGGUUAUUCUGAGUACUAUGACUUCUGGGUUAAUGCUGACUCCCCAGAUAUCCACCCUGUUGGCUGGUGUGAAAAGACAGGUCACAAGCUGCUCUCCCCAAAAGGUUACAAGGAGGGGGAAUUUAAUUGGGCUUUGUAUUUGAAGAAUUGCAAAGCUCAAGCAGCCCCGAAAAACCUUUUCAAGACCUUCAGCACACCUGUCACACCAUCUGGUUUUCGGGUCGGAAUGAAACUAGAGGCAGUGGACAAAAAGAAUCCAUCUUUGAUGUGCGUGGCAACCAUCACUGAUAUGUUGGAUAACCGGCUGCUAAUUCAUUUUGACAACUGGAAUGAGAAUUAUGACUAUUGGUGUGAUGCUAGCAGCCCAUAUAUUCGUCCUGUUGGUUAUUGCCAAGAAACUGGAACCCUACUGACAACACCACCUGAAUACAAGGAUUCCAAAAGCUUCUCUUGGGAGAAAUAUUUGGAAGAAACCAGUUCCCAGGCAGCCCCAGCAAGAGCAUUUAAAUUGCGUCCAGCCCAUGGUUUCCAGGUUAACACAAAGCUAGAAGCUGUGGACAAGAGAAAUCCCAUGUUAAUAAGAGUGGCAACAAUAGCUGAGAAAGAUGACCAUCGUAUCAAGAUACAUUUUGAUGGUUGGGAUCAUAGUUAUGAUUUCUGGGUCGACGCAGACAGCCCUGACCUUCACCCUGUGGGCUGGUGUGCAAAAACUGGACAUGCCCUACAGCUCCCGCUAGGUGCUGCUGAUAUGAUGGGAGUAGCAGGGCAGGGGUGCCCUACCCCCGGCUGCCAGGGUAUUGGUCAUGUCAGAGGAUACCGAUACGGAACACAUUACACGUUAGUUGGCUGCCCAUAUUCUGAAGCUAACCUCAACAGAGAAAGCUCAUUACAUGAUCGCCUCAGUGGGGAGAGGCCUUCACCCAACACUGGUGUCCAGAAAUCCAAGAGACCAGUGAUGCCUGCUCCAUUUGUAGGCCCACGUGAGGACUCUCCACAAUCCAGAAAAUCUUCCACUCGAGAUAGUGAAAGAUCCCGUCGAAGUAGCGUCCACAGUCUGUCAGAGCAGUCUGAAAACAGUCAAGAAAAGGAUUGGAUGGAAGAUGAGUCAUCUGCAGAUACCAAUGCCAACCCAAAAAAGAUUGGAUGUAGAAACCUCCAGCUAGUGAUGCAGGAAGACGAUGGGAAAGACACAGAAUUCACUCUGCAGCAGGCCCUCCAUCAGUCUGUCUUCAUGCCCUCCCUGUCUUCCAGCCCGACCCAUCGUCUCCAUCUCUGCUGGGAGCAGCACUGCAGGCUGCUGCCGGAGGUUUCGGGCCUUACUGCCAGGAGCGUGGCCAAAUGGACUGUGGAAGAGGUGGCUAACUUUGUCCAGCGUUUACCUGGCUGCAAGGAACAAGCAUCAGUAUUCAGGGAAGAGGCAUUUCUAAUGUUCUCAUCACAGCAGUCCUGUACUUGAGCACCUUGCAAACAUUCAAGAAUUAAGCUGUGUGACCCCCUGUGAGUUAGGGAGUGUUGCUGACACCCCCACAUUACAGCUGCAGGUAGUAAGGCGCAAAGAGCAGAUCAACUCCUUGCAAGAAAGAAAGAACAAAAGAAUGAACAAACGUUGGUGAAACAAUGAGGACUGCUGUCAUUGAAAUUGUUAAUUUAGAGGGUUCCUAGCCAGCUGCACUAAACAAGAGAACUUGUACUUGCCUGGAGUUUAUUCAAGCAGAACAAUGGUGGUAGCUUCCAGCCAGGAAGAAGGAAGGGAACCAUUUAGGGAUGGAAGGAGGAUGAAUAUGCUUCUUGUGCCUUUUUUUCUGAUCUGGUAACUUUCUUCACAGAAUAAGCAAGAACAUGUGUAUCUAUUAUUAGUUCCAUUCCUUCCACAUAUAUAUCUAUUUUCAAUAAAAACAAAGAACUUUAAAAUAACCAUUCAAGAUUUGAAAUCUUUCUGCCAUCACACUUCCAAUAAUUUCAUUGGAAAACUAAAAAAUUAAAACACUGAAGGUAUGCCUACACUGCUGCUGGGAGCUGCACUCCCCAGCUCAGGUAGACAGAAAUGCACCAGUCGUGCUCAAGCUAACACACCAAAAUAGCAUAGCAAUGGGUUGCACGAGCAGCAGCUUGGGGUACAAAUCUGCCAAUACCCCCAGAUACAAACUUGAAUAGUUAGCUUUCAGCUGCACUGCUGUUUUUAGCAUGCUAGCUCACAUGGAGUUAAUGUGUGUCUGUCUACCCAAGCUGGGAACCACACUCCCAGUUGCAGUGCAGGCAUAUUUUAGGAAUUAAGGCCUCCACUUUUGUAAAUGCUAGUCAGUAUAUGUGUCUUUAAGCAAGAGGUCAGAAAGCAUGUCUUCGAAUAUUUGUUUUGUUAGUUUGACACCUGCUUUUUAAUUUCUUUUAAAGCAGAAAGCAACAAAUUGUAGCUCUUAUCACUUGAUUUGGAAGUUUUCAUGAUCGGACAACUAAACAAGAAAAAAAAACAGCUGUCAGACUGAAUUUUAGUUUAAAAAGACAACAGCAAUUAAAAACGAAGGAUAAGUCUGUUAGUUCCUAUCAUCACAGCAGAACAAAUCAUGACAACUUUUACACAUGGAUCAGCAAGGCAAUUGGAAAGUACAAGAUCUAAAUGAUUUCUCUUAUAUUUGUACAGUAUGUUGCAUUCUCAUCCCCAUUCCCUUUUUUAGAAAUCCAAAAUGUUCGUGUCUUUUUUUUAAUCCCUCUUUGCAGGGAAUCUUGUUUUCAAAUUUCUGUGUCAUCACAAAUUAACAUCCUUGUAAAUUGAUGGUAGCAAAUUUCUGCUCUGGGUAAUGAAUCACAUUAGAAUUGGAUGGAAGCAUUUGGCAUUACUGAUAGCAAAAUCAUACAAUGCAAGAAAAAGAAUUCAACCUAGGAGAUAAGCCAGUUCAGCUGUAGAAGAUUUCUUGCCGGCUACUUUUAUGCCCUGUUAAGGGAAUGAUACCACAGAAAGCUUUAAUUUUUUUGACAUUCUCUCCAUCAUGUGAUGAGCUAGUUUAUUUUCAGACUUCUAUUACUUGAACUGGAAAUAGGUCCAAAAUGGGGACAUUUCGUGAGGUUUUCAUUUCAGUGUUUGAAAGUUGUUUGCUAUUUAAUGCUUGGAACCUUUUAUGCUAGCUGUCCCUUGCUUGACACUGAGCUCCCACAGAUACUUUCUUCUGAAAAUGUGAAUAAAUUAAUAUAAUACUUA